rnacentral:tRNA from 1 species
GCGGCCUAGCUCAAUUGGUAGAGCAACUGACUUGUAAUCAGUAGGUUGGGGGUUCAAGUCCUCUGGCCGGCA